rnacentral:pre_miRNA from 1 species
GCAUUGGGAGACCCCUAGAGUUCCCUCAACCCCUUCAGCGAUGUGCUCUCUCCUAUACAAGAGAGAGAGAGAGUUUAUGCUGGUGUUUUGGAGAGAGAGUUUACGCUGAAGUGUUUGGGGGAACUCCUGGAGUCACUCAAUAGU